UGCGGACUCCUAAAAACCAGAGCCGUUUUUAACUCAAAGCUCCCUUUUCUCUUCAUCCCGAGGCUGUUUGCAGCCAGUCCCAGUCUCACAUGCCGAAAACGCUCCCGUCUGACAUCUCCAAGAGUCCGAUCCCAGGGAUGAGAACAGGCAACACGAACUAUAUAGAAACCUCAGGUGUCAUAACCUCCAAACCCUCCCCAAGUCUGCCAGCAAGUCUUUGCAGGAUUUACCAGCAGUGCAUAUGGCGAUGAGACAUGUCUUCAAAGCCACCGUAGAUGGCACAGUCUCUGAAUCCAGUCCCCACUUGGUGGAAAAGCUCUAUUAAUAUCAAUGGGACACGAUCAGAUGUGAAAAGUCACAGCCUCGAUAAACUAUAAUGAUCGAUAUUCACUGAGGAGCUGAUCCUCCUUCUCGCUGCUCCUUUUAUCCCUCCCACGGCUGUGAUAACAGUAAGACUUCAUGCUACGUGAAUAACCCAGAACUUGCUAUUUCCACGUGAAAACACAACAGUUUCAAUUACUGACUCAUCCUAAUACUCUGUGGGACAACUCCUAUAUUUUUCCACUUUUUUAACAUUUUGUGCUGCCCCUUUCUUCUCGUUCUCCACAGCACAAAAAGAACAUGCAACUGUUGUUCGGUUGUUGGGGUAUUGUUUUGUUUUCUUGCUUUUGUGAUGGUUUGGGAGUAUUUUUUUGAACUGGAAAUAUAGGGGCAAGAGGAAGAAGCAUACCAGAAUGCAUUCAUGCAGACACUGGAAUGGCAAGCCAGCAGUUAUCCAAGUACAUGUAGCAGAAAGCAUCUCUGAAUAAACAAUAAUAAUAAAAUAAUAAUAAUAAUAAAAGCAGCAGAAAGCUCUCUCCCAUCCAACCAGGCCAAAAAAAUAAGGGUUUGGCAAGGAAUAAUCUGAGAAAGUGUCUGAAGAGCUGGAAGUAGGUUCUGUAUCAUGCAGAAGAGCCAAAAAUGUGUUUGGCCACAAACAGCGCAUGAUGCAUUGCAAAACGUUUCACGAGGAGAUAUUUAGAGGGUGGGAUGGUUGGCAUGGAGAGGAAAAGAGGGGGAGGCAUCGCUGCAGAGGAAUAUCUUUAGCCUUCAAACAACAGCCACUAAAAUAUCCCGAAUGCUCUGCCUCCCCAGAGGUGCCAAGGGUUGAAAGUUUUGUGCAGAAUGGCUUUUGCGGGAUAAUGUAAUCUCAUUUAAAAUUAGUUUUUAGCUGCCCCUUUCUUAGUGAGAAGGAAAAGCCCAAAGAUAGGGCCUGAUGCAGGGAUGUCAGUAGGCUUGGGAUUAAUGGGUUUUGGAUUGGACUCACGGUAUAAGAGACAGUGCUCCAAUCUAGCCAUAAAUAAAGUGGCUUCCAUUAACGUUUAUAUUUGCUUUAAUUUAUUUAACCAAGAAAGUCAGCAGAGGCCCAUAGGUCUCGGUAUUAAGAAUGAGCUGGCCAAGACAGCAGCAGAUAAAGCUUGCACCAGCGUAAAUCAAAGCUUCCAUAAGUCAUACUCAAGAAACCAUGGGUGAGUAAGGCAAUAAAAUGUGACCAUUGUUUCUUUACUGUAUCAUUCUCAGCUUUCACUUUCUGCCGGAGCCAAACAUCAUUUCUGCUCCAUCUUUUUAAGAGGUUGGAGAGCAUGGACCAAACCCGUUGCAAACCCGGGAUCCAGAGCAGGAGUUCAGAAGCUGGGAUUUGCAAACAGCUCACAAAUGCUUUGCCUCCCCUAAUGGCCAGAUAAUAAUAAAGAUGAGAUCCAGAAGCUUUAUUUUUUUUUCCUACUUAAAUGUUGGAAAAGGCUGCACCUCCACCU